GAUGAACGCUGGCGGCGUGCCUAAUACAUGCAAGUCGAGCGAACAGACGAGGAGCUUGCUCCUCUGACGUUAGCGGCGGACGGGUGAGUAACACGUGGAUAACCUACCUAUAAGACUGGGAUAACUUCGGGAAACCGGAGCUAAUACCGGAUAAUAUAUUGAACCGCAUGGUUCAAUAGUGAAAGACGGUUUUGCUGUCACUUAUAGAUGGAUCCGCGCCGCAUUAGCUAGUUGGUAAGGUAACGGCGUACCAAGGCAACGAUGCGUAGCCGACCUGAGAGGGUGAGCAGCCACACUGGAACUGAGACACGGUCCAGACUCCUACGGGAGGCAGCAGUAGGGAAUCUUCCGCAAUGGGCGAAAGCUUGACGAAGCAACGCCGCGUGAGGGAGGAAGGUCUUCGGAUCGUAAAACUCUGUUAUUGGGGAAGAACAAAUGUGUAAGUAACUAUGCGCGUCUGGACGGUACCUAAGUAGAAAGCCACGGCUAACUUCGUG
rnacentral:rRNA from 1 species